UACGGAGGGUGCAAGCGUUAAUCGGAUUUAUUGGGCGUAAAGCGCGCGCAGGUGGUUUCUUAAGUCUGAUGUGAAAGCCCCCGGCUCAACCGGGGAGGGUCAUUGGAAACUGGGAGACUUGAGUGCAGAAGAGGAUAGUGGAAUUCCAAGUGUAGCGGUGAAAUGCGUAGAGAUUUGGAGGAACACCAGUGGCGAAGGCGACUGUCUGGUCUGUAACUGACACUGAGGCGCGAAAGCGUGGGGAGCAAACAGG
rnacentral:rRNA from 1 species